UGAGAGAGUAUCUUAAGAGCCAUCCAUUCAUCAUGUUAGCAGCAGGAGAACCCACCACAGGCUAUGGGAGUUUAUCUCCUGACAACCCAUCGUUCCCUUUCCCCUCGAUACAGUCCGGCGCGGCUGCCAGGGCCCGUCUCGUGCCCCUCCGACAGAAUCUUUUGCCUGGCUCCCCUUUGCGAUUCUCCCGAUCCGAUUUGGUGACGAGGAAAGAUCAUUUCCCCCUGUCCACAAAACAGCUUGGCGGCAGGAUCCGAUGUCUGCGUGAUGGCGCUCUACCGGCACGACCGAACGGUGCAGCUCGUUGCAGCGGCUCUCCGGGAUUAUCUCCUGUUAUUUCCCAUGCCUGUGUCGUGCCUGCGUCCCCGAGGCGGCGUCCGUGUGCCAUGCUCCUCCUCUCCCUUCUCGAUGUUAAUUCCGAUGAAGGUAACUCUGACGUGGCUGAGAAGGUUGGAUUUGAUCAGUUUGCCGGAUCGGACCGGCCAUUGGGGUCCGGAGCAGGUUUAUUUCCGGCCGGGGAGGAGGCUCUGGUAGCCACGCUGACCUCAGCCAGUUCUCUGGAGCAUGUAUUGUCGCUAUUCCCCUUCUCAGUGUGGCUCCUGCGUCCAUGGUCACAUGGUCCUCCUCAGUUGCCGAUCAUAUUUCGUGGUGCCAUUGUAGAGAGCCGGCCUCAUGGACCGGAUGCGGGUGGUGGUCCAGCUCUUUGGUCAGUUCACCGGAAUCCUCUGUUAUGGAGUGGAUGCGACGCAGGGCAGGACCUGUGUUUGACAGAGACAACUUGCAGGGGCCUCCUCACGUGCUUCCCGUCGACGGCAUCGGCAGUCACGAGGAGAUAGAGCAGAAGGUGUGGCUGAGGCUAGGACCGGCGCGACGGUGCCACGCGGUGAGGAACCUGCGGUCGCUGUCCUUGGAAGACCUGCCGCAGACUCCGGUCACGACGAGCCUGCACGCCUAACCCUGGACGAGCUCAGCAUCUCACCGUCAAGUACCUCGACCUCUAUAGCGACGGCAUCCAGGGGCCGCAAGUGGCUGGCGUAUGUGGUGUAUCUAGGGAUGCUGAGACACCCGCACUUGCCGCAAUGGUAUCCAUUCUCUGUGAAAGCUGGGCUCCUUCGUGUGAGGCUGUGAGCAGGAAGUCCUGCUCCUGUAUUUGGUUUGCGGCAAGGGCGACGAACUUCCGAGUACGACGACAGGACGGUGACUACUCUGCCUUCUUCUAUAUUGAUGAACUUCAAUUGUAGUUAAGAAGAAUACUCUCAAUUCAUGAUGAUCCAAUGCAUGAAUAAAAAUAUGUCUUUUGGAUA